rnacentral:rRNA from 1 species
AGAGUUUGAUCAUGGCUCAGGAUGAACGCUGGCGGCAUGCCUAAGACAUGCAAGUCGUACGAAGUGGCCCACUGAAGUUUGAGUGCUUGCACGAUUUCGGACGUGGAUUUUCCACUUAGUGGCAGACGGGUGAGUAACGCGUGGGUAACCUACCUCAGGGACUGGGAUAACUGUUGGAAACGAUAGCUAAUACCGGAUGAUAUAUAUUUGGAUAACCUUAUAUAUUAAAAGGAGCUUCGGCUUCACCUUGAGAUGGGCUUGCGUUGUAUUAGCUUGUUGGUAGGGUAAUGGCCUACCAAGGCAACGAUGCAUAUCCGAGCUGAGAGGUUGAUCGGACACAUUGGGACUGAGACACGGCCCAAACUCCUACGGGAGGCAGCAGUUAGGAAUAUUCGUCAAUGGGGGGAACCCUGAACGAGCAAUGCCGCGUGAGUGAUGACGGUCUUUAUGAUUGUAAAACUCUGUUGUAAAGGAAGAAUAGCUACCAUAGGUAAUGAUGGUAGUAUGACGGUACUUUACCAGAAAGCCCCGGCUAACUACGUGCCAGCAGCCGCGGUAAUACGUAGGGGGCGAGCGUUAUCCGGAUUUAUUGGGCGUAAAGAGUUCGUAGGCGGUUUGUUAAGUCUGAGAUUUAAGCCCGAGGCUCAACCUCGGUUCGUUUCAGAACUGGCAGACUUGAGUGUGGUAGAGGCAAGUGGAAUUUCUAGUGUAGCGGUUAAAUUCGUAGAUAUUAGAAGGAACACCAGUGGCGAAGGCGGCUUGCUGGGCCACCACUGACGCUGAGGAACGAAAGCGUGGGG